GACGAACGCUGGCGGCGUGCCUAAUACAUGCAAGUCGAACGCUUCUUUCCUCCCGAGUGCUUGCACUCAAUUGGAAAGAGGAGUGGCGGACGGGUGAGUAACACGUGGGUAACCUACCCAUCAGAGGGGGAUAACACUUGGAAACAGGUUCUAAUACCGCAUAACAGUUUAUGCCGCAUGGCAUAAGAGUGAAAGGCGCUUUCGGGUGUCGCUGAUGGAUGGACCCGCGGUGCAUUAGCUAGUUGGUGAGGUAACGGCUCACCAAGGCCACGAUGCAUAGCCGACCUGAGAGGGUGAUCGGCCACACUGGGACUGAGACACGGCCCAGACUCCUACGGGAGGCAGCAGUAGGGAAUCUUCGGCAAUGGACGAAAGUCUGACCGAGCAACGCCGCGUGAGUGAAGAAGGUUUUCGGAUCGUAAAACUCUGUUGUUAGAGAAGAACAAGGACGUUAGUAACUGAACGUCCCCUGACGGUAUCUAACCAGAAAGCCACGGCUAACUACGUG
rnacentral:rRNA from 1 species